GAUGAACGCUGGCGGCGUGCCUAAUACAUGCAAGUCGAGCGAACAGACGAGGGGCUUGCUCCUUCGACGUUAGCGGCGGACGGGGGAGUAACACGUAGGUAACCUACCUAUAAGACUGGGAUAACUUCGGGAAACCGGAGCUAAUACCGGAUAAUAUUUCGAACCGCAUGGUUCGAUAGUGAAAGAUGGCUUUGCUAUCACUUAUAGAUGGACCUGCGCCGUAUUAGCUAGUUGGUAAGGUAACGGCUUACCAAGGCAACGAUACGUAGCCGACCUGAGAGGGUGAUCGGUCACACUGGAACUGAGACACGGUCCAGACUCCUACGGGAGGCAGCAGUAGGGAAUCUUCCGCAAUGGGCGAAAGCCUGACGGAGCAACGCCGCGUGAGUGAUGAAGGUCUUCGGAUCGUAAAACUCUGUUAUUAGGGAAGAACAAACGUGUAAGUAACUGUGCACGUCUUGACGGUACCUAAUCAGAAAGCCACGGCUAACUACGUG
rnacentral:rRNA from 1 species